rnacentral:rRNA from 1 species
CGCCGCCUACGGGGGGCAGCAGUGGGGAAUAUUGGGCAAUGGGCGCAAGCCUGACCCAGCAACGCCGCGUGAAGGAAGAAGGCUUUCGGGUUGUAAACUUCUUUUCUGGGGGACGAACAAAUGACGGUACCCCAGGAAUAAGCCACGGCUAACUACGUGCCAGCAGCCGCGGUAAUACGUAGGUGGCAAGCGUUAUCCGGUUUUAUUGGGUGUAAAGGGCGUGUAGGCGGGAAUGCAAGUCAGAUGAGAAAACUAUGGGCUCAACCCAGAGCCUGCAUUUGAAACUGUAUUUCUUGUGUGAUGGG